GUGCUUGCUUUGGCAGCACAUAUACUAAAAUUGGAACGAUGCAGAGAUUAGCAUGGCCCCUGUGCAAGGAUGACAUGCAAAUUCAUGAAGCGUUCCAUAUUAAA
rnacentral:snRNA from 1 species